rnacentral:sRNA from 1 species
AUGUACCACUCGUACACUCCGGUUCCUGUGCGCCGCCCGCACCCACCUGACGACUGCUGGUGAAAUGAAGACGUCGCCC